ACUGCAAGUUUGAGGCCAUAGCAGAAGUGUUCACAACACAGCCUGUCAGAUUCCAAUAUAUUUGUGAAUUCUGCU
rnacentral:ribozyme from 1 species